rnacentral:misc_RNA from 1 species
GAUUAAGAACGUAGCGAAAUGCGAUACUUGGUGUGAAUUGCAGAAUCCCGUGAACCAUCGAGUCUUUGAACGCAAGUUGCGCCCGAAGCCACUAGGCCGAGGGCACGCCUGCCUGGGCGUCACACGUCGUUGCCCCCCACCAUCUACUCCUUCGGGAUUGCGGGGGGCGGAUGAUGGCCUCCCGUGCGCCUAGCCGCGCGGUUGGCAUAAAUACCAAGUGCUCGGCGACGCACGCCACGACAAUCGGUGGUUGCGAAACCUCGGUUGCCCGUCGUGUGCGUUCGUCGCGCAUCGAGGGCUCGAAAAAAUGCUCGGCUCCGGCUCGGCUUUCAACGCGACCCCAGGUCAGGCGGGGUUACCCGCUGAAUUUAAGCAUAUCAAUAAGCGGAGGA